AGUGAACGCUGGCGGUAGGCCUAACACAUGCAAGUCGAACGGCAGCACAGUAAGAGCUUGCUCUUACGGGUGGCGAGUGGCGGACGGGUGAGGAAUACAUCGGAAUCUACUUUUUCGUGGGGGAUAACGUAGGUAAACUUACGCUAAUACCGCAUACGACCUACGGUUGAAAGCAGGGGAUUUUCGGACCUUGCGCGAUUGAAUGAGCCGAUGUCGGAUUAGCUAGUUGGCGGGGUAAAGGCCCACCAAGGCGACGAACCGUAGCUGGUCUGAGAGGAUGAUCAGCCACACUGGAACUGAGACACGGUCCAGACUCCUACGGGAGGCAGCAGUGGGGAAUAUUGGACAAUGGGCGCAAGCAUGACCCAGCCAUACCGCGUGGGUGACGAAGGCCUUCGGGUUGUAAAGCCCUUUUGUUGGGAAAGAAAAGCAGCAGGUUAAUACCCCGCUGUUCUGACGGUACCCAAAGAAUAAGCACCGGCUAACUUCGUG
rnacentral:rRNA from 1 species